AGAGGAUAGAGAGAGAGGGAGAGAGACAAGAAAAUGGCCAUGAACAAUACCAAACCCCCGACCGAGACACAUCCAUCCAUAAAGGGAGUUCCUGGGUGUUGUCCAUCCUUCUUUCUCUCUCUCUCUCCAAGCAGCAUAUCGGUCGCAUGCCACUUCCUGGUUUUCAGCGUGCAGUAUUACAGCCGGCGGACGUGUGACUCCGUGAGGGUGUCGGG